CAAUUCAGCAAGGACUAGUGAUGGAUAUGUUCCAGGUUCCACAGCUAGGAGAAUGUCAGGAAGAAAAGCCUCAUCAUUAAAAGUGUUACAGCAUCUUCAGAUGGUGAAAUGUCAAGCAAAAAGUGCAUUCCAAGCCCUCAAGAAGUUGUGUCAAGCCCUAGUCGUAAAGGCAUUCCAGAUCUAAAGAGUAGAAAUGGACCUAUAUGUAUGGUUUUAUUGAUGAAAAUAUGCCAUGCCCCAGUGACAAAGGUGAACCAGUUUCUAAAAAUGGAGAUGAAGCUUGACCCUGGAAAGAAAGCAUGUCUGUCUCUAAUGAUAGAGAUGUGACUUUAUCCAGGGACUGAGAUCUGCAAGUUCUAAAUGAAGGAGAUUUGCCAGGUGCUGAUAUUACUGAUAUCCUACAUGUGGGUCCCAUCUGCUCAAGGUUCCAAUAGUGAAAAAUCUUGGUUAGGAAUGAAGUGUCAUCAGAGGCACUAAAGGAAACUGAUGGCAUUGUUUUUGUGUUUGAGAAUAAGAGUGAGGAGGAGAUAGAUGACAGUCAAGACAAUCAGGAUGUCCAUAUUGUCACUCCAGGGAAGAAGAAGUCAUUUCUGAUCCUAGAUCUACUUUGGAAGAUUCUACAUGCAAGUGACAAGAGAUACAAAAAAAUCCCAAGGACAUCAUGAGAAAUGAAUUUAAUCAACAGACAUUGCGGAAAAAAUUUUAUAAAAAAUUGUAAUAGGACCUUAGAGAAGUGUAAAACACCAAGGAUAUAAUCUUGUUAAAAAACAGAGAAAAUCAAUAUUAACAUUCUACUUUCAAUUGAUAUGCUUUGAGAAAUAUGAUAAACACUGUGUUUUAAAGCCACAGUAAUGGAGGACAUUGAAUUCUUUGCAGCAGUUUUAUCAUUAGGCCAUUUCAAUUUUUUUCUGUUUUUAGUGUCUGUGGAUGGAUUGGUUUUGAGGUCAUGCAAUCAAGAACAAACACAAAAUGAAAUUGACAAAUACAAAUCUUUGACAAGCAAUUUACUCUUCUGGGAUCAGCAUCUCUCUUUUUUGAAAGUGAUGUGCUCAAGUUUUUUUUUUUUUUUUUUUUUUUUGUUUCAUUAAACUAGUAGUAGUAGUAGUUUAAUUUAGCUAUAAUA